GGGGGGCAGAGCUCCCUUGUCUUUGCCAGCGAGGCAGCUUGUUUAUCUAGCGAGCUCUCUUUCCUCCCAGCCCUACCUGCCUGCCUGCCUUGCCUGCCUCCUUUGGCUUUUCCGAUCGUGAUGGGACUCGGAUUGCUACCGAACGCGACCCCUAAUGGAUUACAGGGAUGCGGCUGGGCUCCACGCCCUUCCACCGGGGCAGCGAACGGGUAAGGGAUUUUUCAGCUCUCGUUUUCCACCACCACCUCCUCCUCCUCCUUCCCCCCAUUUUAUUCCUGACUCGUCUGCAUCGCUGCAGGGCUUCCUACUUUCGCUCAGGCGCCGGAGAAUGACUCCGUAAGUCAUAAAAGAAAGUGGGCAAGGCGGGCGCCCAUCACCAUCACCAUCACUGCAAGCGCCUGUGAUUUUUUUCUUCGCCCAAGCUGAGGCAACAGAGGCGAAGAGGUGCGGUGGGUUAGGCUUGGAAGCGCUUCGUCGCCUUCUGCUGCCACCUGCCUGGCUUUUGAGGCUUCCAUGGCACGGAGAACAAGGCUGAGAUAGGCACUCUCCGCCCCACUAGCGUGGCUCGCUAGUGGAAUUGAAUGCCUCUGAGGUUGGGGAGGCAAGAGUAGGUUUGGAAGCAAGAGAAACUGCCGAAGCAGAAUUAAAAAAACAUCCCCAAAAACUACUAGCAAAAUUAUUUGGACCGAGAUGUCCUGCAAUUUCUACUUGUGCGCUGUUGCCUCGUCCCCCCCCCCCUCUUUAGUGGUUUUUCUUAACAGCAGGAUUCCAUCCGCAUGCCUUUCCUUAUCAACAGGUGUGUGUGUGUGUGUGUGUGUGUGUGUGUGUGUCCGUGUCCCCAUCCGGGUCACUAGUAAUGAGCAAAGCUGAGCGCUCCUACGACCAGAUUUGCUGCAGGGAGACUGGCUUACGAUCUGUGGUUUCUUCUGUGCUGGGGAGUCCGACUUUUCAUCCGAUUAAUCCUACCAAGAUGACUGGGAGGGCGUGGAGGAGGAGGGGGGGAAAUCCUAAACAGAAAACAAGACCCUGUCUUGCAAAGCGAAGGCCAAAUGUUUGCAGUCGUGAAAACAUCAGGGGAUUGUUAAAACUGUACCUUGCGGGAGGGAUGGCAAGGAAUGUUUGUGUCAUACUGUCGGAUAUAUAUAAUAGUUUUGGAAUGGAUCGAGCAGCAGCUAGAUGGUUUUUUCUAGGGCGGUCAAAACACUUCCUAGUGUGCAUUGUCAUAAAGAGCAAGACGCAUGUGGCGUGUUCCACGGUAGCUAACGCGUGGAAGGUUUAAGCAGACACCAAUAUGUCUGCAACGUAGCAGGUACUUACUCUUAUGUAGCAAGACAGCGACUUCUGGAGUAAAGGCGUUGCGGAUUAUUGUGGUCUAGAGGGAGGAUGACAUCACCAUGGUGCUCAGACGUUUUCAAAAAUAUAUUUUAUAUCGAUCAGGCCUAAUUGAACCAAGGGAGAUUAUCUGUCUGUCUUUCUGGCAGUGAGCAGGGUGACAUGAGGAUUCAAUACGUUUAUUUUCAUAGCAACAAUUAUGGGAAGGGGAAUAAUCCAUAUAGCUCAAGACAGUCCAAUCUUAUCCAUGUUUAAUUGGCAGUGAAUAAAUUCCUUACAGUGGGAAUUAAUUGUUAAGUAAAUAUGGCAUAAUAUUGCAGACUGGUUACAAAUAUCUAAUAUAUUUCCCCUAUAACUUUGCUGUUGUUGCUAUGUAGCCUUAGGCGUCUUUAUUUCUAUUUAAAAUGUUACGCUGAAUCACCUCAUUUAUUUAUUUAUUUUUAAAGCAGGGCUGUUGUCCGGUCUAGACAAAUCAUUUUUUUUAAAAAAAGGUCUAUUAUCUCUUCCGGAAUGUAGAUUAUUAUGUUAUGUUAUGUUAUGUUAUGUUAUGUUAUGUUAUGUUAUGUUAUGUUAUGUUAUGUUUAUUAUGUUAUGGUCUUCCUGAAAACUGGUUUACAUAAUGUGAUUUAUACAUGCAUUAAAUAUAUUAAUGUAAUGUUGCUUAUACAUCAGUUUUGUUUAAGGGCCGUACUACUAUGCAUAAAUAUUUGAUCACCCCACAAUUUAAAAUAACUUAUCGGUGAUAGGAAUAAAUUUCAAUCUUGCUAAUGCACUCAAAUUUUAUUCUGUAAAGAAUGACUACUUCGUAUAUCCUUUUUGCGACUUGUUGGAAGUCAACACUGAAUCACUCGAAUCCGGUUUCCCUCUUUUUUCGAUGAAGUCUACAGAAUGUGGAGUUCUGGAUUUCUAGCAAUCAGUCUAGGGAAAGUUAUUGGGCUGGGUGCUGGGUUGGAGUAAAAUACCAUCACAAUCUUGCAAGGUGAUUGUUGAUUACAGUUUAAUGGCUACAGUUUAUAGCAGAAAGUCGCAAACCAUCCUAAAUAAAAAUUAUCAUGUGUGCAUACAUAAGUCCGCCCACUUUCCCCUCUCGUAUAUUGCUUCUCCCUUUCCCUCCCUCCCAGUUAGACUGCAUUUAUUAUAGCUAAGUUGGCGACACAUUGUUGAUUGGUUUCUUUGCCUCAGCAUUCUUGAAAUCUUAAUUUCCGCAUUAAUUUCCGCAUCUUUUUUUUUAACCAUAAGAUCUAACCCAUCGUAGAUCCGUAACCCAAUACAAAGUACGUGGAUUUAAAGAAAUGAAAUAAAACAAAACCAAAUCACGUUUGCUGGAUGACUGUUCUUUUUACAGAAUAUAUUCAUGUUCUUCGACUUAAAGUGCCAGAGGGCUUGGUGCUGAAAAACCCAGACUCUUAAUUCUAAAUGCAUUCGAUUCACUGGAAGAAAGGGGCACUGAUUUCAGCACAUUUCCCCCCUUAAACCGAAAUUUUAAGCAUGCAGCUUUAGGCUCGACCACCCUACCAUUGUGAAUUCCACUGAGUUUUAUGAGAGUUUGCCCCCAAGCUCACUGAAAUAAAAUUGAUGGGGGGGUAUUGUAUUUGGGGCUGCUCAUUUCAUUUCCCCCUAAAAAAAGGAGAGAGUUCAUAAAUAGACACGUUAGGACCCCCUCAAGAAAGGAGAAUUCAUCCAGUGGUCAAACGUGGAUAGUUUAAUCACUUCUAGCUGAAAAUGCAGAACAAGGCAAUAAUUUGUUUAAGGAAAAAUAAUCCCAGAAAUGGUCAUGUUCUUAGUGAAGAAGAACCCACCCGUUCACAUGUUGCCUAGAUCUUUUGUACAUUGGUGGUGGGUUCAGUGCCCUUAAAUACCCAUUCACCCAAAGCUCUAAAAAUCUAAUCGUGGUGUGUACACACACCCACACACCAGUGAACUAUAUUUCUCAGGGGCUUCUGUAUGAGUGCUUGGAGCUGGGGGUGGGAGAGAGAAUCCGAACAAAGACAGUAUUUCACUCUUUGGUUGGCAGGCAGCUGUUAAAGGUAUUUACAGCUCUACUGCAUUGCGGCACUGAAUGCUGCUACUGCUAGUGUUAAGAGCUAAAAAACAGGAAGUGAGUGUGGGGUGGUGAGGGGGAGAGGAAAAAGGAAUCGCCAUAAACAGUUCAUUUGGUCAGUGGGACAGAGCUUAAGACAGAAAAUAACACCACAUUGGGGAUAAAUAUCUCCCUAAAAAUCCUUAUGCCGAGUGGCUUUUGAAAACCUGCUUUUUCCUAAAGAGGAAGUAUAGUUUAAUUGGAUGCGAGGGAGAAAAUCUCCCCUUUCAAAAUCUUCCAAGUAGGAAGCUGAGGGCAGCAAACAUGAAACAUGUGUGAGUUAAAGUGCUUGGGGGGGGUGCGUGGGGAGGACACAAACACUUGCAUGAUCUCAGCAUGGGAAGGGAAAAAACGGGUUGAGGGGCUUUCAUUAAAUAAAAAAAGGUGGAAGUGAGAGGAGGGUCCAAGCACUUUAAGGAGAAGGAAAAGCAACGCAUUGUUUUAGAGCUCUUUGUGGCGAUAGCUAAAGCUUUCUAUGGAGAUCAUUAUUGCCCUCCGGUUUUCUCUUGUUUGCAGAC